rnacentral:lncRNA from 1 species
AUGCGCACCCCACACACCCGCCGCGGCGGAAAAAGGCGGAUCGGGGCUUUUGUCUGGAGCCGCGGCAGCCUCAGCUCUCCGCGAGCUCCCCGGGAAGGCAGCUCCGGCCGAGGACGGGGGCUGAGCUCAAAUCUUUAUUUUCCUGAAGGACCGAACCCUUGUCUAUGUGUUUUAACACUUUGGAAAAAAACCCCAAACCCUAUGAAAACCAGCACAAAUGUCAGGACUCAUAAGCAAGUGACUGGACGAAGCUGCUGUUUUGAGAUUCCAACACAGAACUGGUGUGAAUGCACUCACUUUGUGUUCUGAGGCAUGAUCAUGUUACCAACUGGUCUUAGCUUUUGAGGGUGCUUUUUGCAAAAUUCUUACAGGCUAGAGUGGAUAAAAAUUCUUAGCGCUGUGUUUAUAAUCCAUUUUCAUGCAUUUUACAUUAACAAUAAUUACUAUUCUACAUUUGCUCUUCCUCUUACGUCUCCCUGCAGCGUGCGGUAGUGUAGGCAAAUAAUUGAAUAAGAUUGAAGACCUACACCAGCUAACCAAACUUUUGGUGUAUUUUAAGAGCCAGAUUUACCCCAAAUGGUGUCCCACAAGACCGAAAUAUUUUAUUUCUUGUCAAAUAGGUCAAAUAAUUACGGAAUUUUCUCUGUCACUGGUAUUAGUAUGUUGUUCUUUCUUACCGUGCUGCUCAUAAUUUCAGAGAGAGAAAAUGUGAUUAAAGUCCACCUUUGUCAAUGCUGCUAAAGCUUUAUUUGCCUUGAGUUCAGAGAAUAAUGAGUCCCAAGAAUCAUGCCACUAUAUAACAGCUAGUUUGCUCCUAUGGUACUGCUGGGGCUGCUAAUAGGAGACAGAAAGAAAACAAGGUGUUUGUAAUGAUCAAGUAGUUCCAAAAUGGGCGUGAAGAAAGUGGUCAGUUAACCCAGAGUUACGUAGUGGUUCGCUCAGUUAACACGUGUGGCUAGUGCCGUCUGUCUGCAGUCUGCCUCCUCUUUCACAGUGUCUGCAGGAGAAGUGGAAAUCUGUACCGGCUUGUUUAUAACCCUGUACUCAGACCACACCUCUCUCUGGGGCAGACCCAGGCUCUGGCAGGGUCUGACCCUCCUUAGCCCAGCCAGGCGUUUGCUGGUGUAGUGUGCCAGGGAGGGGGCAGCAUGGAGAGUCACCGUGGUGUGCCUCUGUCCCACUGCUCUGCUCCAACCCCAGAGAGCCCUGUGAGCCCGGCCCUGCUCUCUCCUUCCCUGCCUUCUUUGGGGUAUUCCCCUCAAAAUUUGGGCACAUCUACAGUGAAGAGUAGAAGCUCUUCAAGGGGAAA